rnacentral:rRNA from 1 species
GACGAACGCUGGCGGCGUGCUUAACACAUGCAAGUCGAACGGAAAGGCCCUGCUUUUGUGGGGUGCUCGAGUGGCGAACGGGUGAGUAACACGUGAGUAACCUGCCCUUGACUUUGGGAUAACUUCAGGAAACUGGGGCUAAUACCGGAUAGGAGCUCCUGCUGCAUGGUGGGGGUUGGAAAGUUUCGGCGGUUGGGGAUGGACUCGCGGCUUAUCAGCUUGUUGGUGGGGUAGUGGCUUACCAAGGCUUUGACGGGUAGCCGGCCUGAGAGGGUGACCGGCCACAUGGGGACUGAGAUACGGCCCAGACUCCUACGGGAGGCAGCAGUGGGGAAUAUUGCACAAUGGGCGGAAGCCUGAUGCAGCAACGCCGCGUGCGGGAUGACGGCCUUCGGGUUGUAAACCGCUUUCGCCUGUGACGAGGCGUGAGUGACGGUAAUGGGUAAAGAAGCACCGGCUAACUACGUG